CCACCUAUGGAGAGAGAGUGAACAGUGGGAAGUUAGGAUAGUAGGGUGAAUUUGGGUAAAAAAUACUCAACUGGCAUUUAAAAAUACAUAAAAAGUUCUAUAAUAUACUUGAAUUCUUAAAAAAGAAAAAAGAAAAAAAGAAAUAUGACUUGGACUGUGCAUAUGUUCAUUGAUAGGUUUCAUCUGACCAACCAACAAAUAGUGAUCAACAGAACCAUGCAUUUUGAAGAUCACCUGUCCAGUGGAUCUCCAACUAAAAAGGGCUCAGGAAAACAACAAGGACAUCUAAUGACUUCCUAAAUCAUUCCGGGGGAUGAUGCAGCCAAAUGUGUGUGACCCAUACAGAAAGUCCUCUGAGCUGGAAAGUGAUGAGGCCGUUGCCGAUCUCAACAAGGUGAACGAGAGCGUUGAGGUAAUCAGAUGCCAGGAUGAAGCAGUCUCCGGUGCUGUAGUUUCCCCAGCGGCCCAGCUGCAGGUCUCCACAUAGAGAAUGCUGCAGGGACCGCGUCAAAUGCUCAUAGAAGAUGGAGUUCAGAAGCGCACUGGUCGCACGUAGGAGCUGAUGAAAAUGGCACUGCCGAGAAAAGGGUUUAAUGGAGUGGAGAACACAGCAGACACAAUGGCCUGUACAAACAACAUGGCAGAGUCUGGAGGGGGCGGAGUCAAGGAAGAACACAGAGAAU